CGGCUCAGCAUAAGAGAUUCAUUCAUUCGGGAACUGGACUGGCGCGCUGUAUUGAUUCACUAAAAGAACCGGCUCAAAAGAGUCAUUCGUUCUGGAAUCAAACCACGCUCGUCUAUGUUUUGAUUAACUUUUAGUAAUGGUGUUGUUGAGGUAAUUAGUUUCGCAUUCGCCAAAGAAUGCACGUUUGAGAACCUUUAGUGGAACCUAAAGUCAAGAAAUUAAUUUGUUCCCGGUAUUUUUUUUAAAGGUGAAACUCGGUUCCUAAUGAGGACGAACAGCAGGACUUUUGUGGACUCGAGCAGACCAGUUUGUGGAAAGUUAAUGAGGGUCUGGCUGACAGAGCACUGGACCCUGGAGAGACGGUAUUGUGAAUACAAGGGAGCUAUGAACACUGCAAAGGGACCAUGAGAAUCGAAACACAGCUACAGACAACAGACUUCUGGGGCUUAUUGAGGACAAACAACUGAUUUCAUCAAAGAGCUUCUCUUGUGUGUAUAAUCAGUCAGACCCAAGAAAAGUCUGAAGAGAACCAGGACCGCAGUUCCCUGUAGGAGUCCUGAUGCAUGAGCCGUACACCUCUAAUGACCAAUUCACCUUCUGACAGAGCAGACCAGCUCUGACGGCAUGGCAGAUCCAGAGAUACGUCUCCCGUAGCAACGGAAGAGCUGUAAAGUCCAACUGUGGCUUUGUCACCCUGUCAAAUCACCAUGAAGAUUCAGACAAAACAGCUUUUUCACUGGAGAAAGCAAUAUUAUGGAUAGAGGACUCAUAUUUAACUCGUCUACAUCUUGGAUGGCCUGAGGGUGAGUACACUGUAUAUUUGGCAAGACAGUCUGUGUGUUUUUUUUUAAUGCUUGUAACUCAUUGCUUACACACUCAGCAAGAGAUUUCAGCCAGGCAGCACUGCUGUUAAAAAAAAGUCUGUCUGCUUAGCUAAUGAAAAUCGUGGCCGUGAAAUAGACUGACCAAUGUGUUGAGGUAAUGAAGCGAUCAUCACAGGCUUUAAAUUCAUUCGGAUGGGAUGCUGACUAAACAGCCGUUUAGAUAUUGUU